UUCACAGAUAUGAAGGGCCGGUUGUAUUGUGGAUUAUGUUACCUCCAGCAUGAGAAAAGGAGAAUGCUUCAGAGUCCAGGGAGGACUUAAAUGGCAGAAGCACUUAGAUUUGUUCCACCAUUUCCUGCAUCCUAAAUCUUCAUCUUUCUUGGUUUUCUCUAACACUUUGUUGGAGCAUGUUCGCAAUAACAGGAUCGCAACCCUCGGCAUGGCAUUGUCUGCACCACGCUCAGCCAGUGAGCACAACGGCCAUCCCUAUAUAGGAUCCGAACCCGUGGCCUUGGCGCUACCAGCACCGCACUCUCCCGAGCGAGCCACGGUGCCAGCCCAGCAUUUAACUUUUUAAAGCAAGGUUUACUUUGAGCUUGCAA